AGAUUUCACUCGCAACUAUCUAUUCGGCACAAUUCCGGUGGAAUGGGCUUCGAUGAAAAAUCUGUCUUUCAUCUCGCUUACUGCAAAUCGCUUGUCAGGAAAUAUUCCUGGACAUUUGGGAAGUUUUACUGCCCUCACCUACUUGAGCCUUGAAUCAAAUCAGUUUUCUGGUGUUGUCCCACCUGAGCUUGGCGAGCU